AGCUUGCUGGGUGGAUUAGUGGCGAACGGGUGAGUAACACGUGAGUAACCUGCCCCUGACUCUGGGAUAAGCGUUGGAAACGACGUCUAAUACUGGAUACGACUGCCGGCCGCAUGGUCUGGUGGUGGAAAGAUUUUUUGGUUGGGGAUGGACUCGCGGCCUAUCAGCUUGUUGGUGAGGUAAUGGCUCACCAAGGCGACGACGGGUAGCCGGCCUGAGA
rnacentral:rRNA from 1 species